UACGAAGGGUGCAAGCGUUACUCGGAAUUACUGGGCGUAAAGGGUGCGUAGGUGGUUUGUUAAGUCUGCUGUGAAAUCCCCGGGCUCAACCUGGGAAUGGCAGUGGAUACUGGCGAGCUAGAGUGCGGUAGAGGGUAGUGGAAUUCCCGGUGUAGCAGUGAAAUGCGUAGAGAUCGGGAGGAACACCAGUGGCGAAGGCGGCUACCUGGACCAGCACUGACACUGAAGCACGAAAGCGUGGGGAGCAAACAGG
rnacentral:rRNA from 1 species